GGCUUAGUUGCUGUAAGAGCUCAGAGAGGGGAAUGUCAGGCUCGGGUGGAGGUGGGGAUCUGAGAGGGACUGGGGCAGAGAGUCACGGGGUUGAGCCCUGCCGGUGAGGCAGGUUUCAGAGGCCGGAGGAGCCUGGGACUCAGGACAGAAAGAAUUUUAUUUUCCUCAUGAUGCCUUGGGGGAAUGAGGAUUAGACACACUAGUUUCUCUUCUUUUUCCAUUUUGCUACCCAUUGGAGACGCUUUCUCUUUCUAUUUUCCCCCAGAGAACGCAGACUCACAAAAAGUGAAUGACAAAGAGGAUCUCUGUGGUUCCAGAAGGCGGUUGCAACCCCUGCCUUGCAGUAUCUUUGGAAUUUCUGUGGGCAAAGAGUUAGAUGAAGGAUAAAAGGAAGACAAAAACAGGGACAGGGAACCCCAGAGGAAAUGUAAAAACAUGAGCACCUCCUUUGGAAAGGUAAGAUCUGAAAUAAAGUUGAAACAAAAGAAAGGAUCAAGAUGGGAGUAAUUCUCCCUUGUCUGAAGGAGGAACCUAAGGGAAGUCUUGUACUGCAUGGUCUUGGAAGAGAGCCUGCCCCUCAGCUCAGCUCAUGGAAAGAAGAUGCUAAAGAUGAAGGAAGAUAAAUUGAGAAGAGAUUUUUUGGUAUGACUGUGUCAAUAGCCUUAAGAGUUUUGUACAUUCAACAUACCUGGCUGGGCGCAGUGGCUCACACCUGUAAUACCAGCACUUUGGGAGGCUGAGAUGGGUGAAUCACUUGAGGUCAGGAGUUCGAGAACAGCCUGGCCAACAUGGCAAAACCCCGUCUCUACUAAAAAUACAAAAACUAGUCGGGUGUGGUGGAGGCUGCCUGUAAUUCCAGCUACUCAGACGGCUGAGGCAGGAGAAUCCUUGAACCAGGGAAGUGGAAAUUGCAGUGAGCCGAGAUCAUGCCACUGCACUCUAGCCUGGGUGGCAGAGCAAGACUCCGUAAAAAAAAAAAAAAAAAAAAAAGAAAAGCCAAUAAAAACAAAACAAAAGAAAGAGAAGAUGGAGAGGCAGUAUGAUAACCACGAAAAUAUGAAAAUAUCAAGCAUCCAUUAAACACUUGCUUCACACUGAACACGGUUCUAAACCCUAGAUAUGGAUCCAACCAUAUAGCCCUCACAAGCCUAUGAAGUACUUACCAGGAUUAUGCCCAUAUUAAAGAGGAGAAAACAGAAUUGUCUUUAGGCCAUGGAAUUUGCCCAAGGUCAGCCACCUUGGUUGGGGCACCCAUGAAAGUCUGACUCUAAACAUGUGCUUUUACCUGCUUUACUAUUCUACAUUCUGAGGGAAUAGAAGGUUCCCAAGAAUGAAGAGAUCAGACGGACUCACACUGAUUCACGCAUGACCCCCUCCUCCAGGAAUGUCGGAAUUCCUACAGAAACUCUUGCCAAGGUAGGAUCCCGUAAUCUCAUCUGAGUAGACAAAGUCUUGACCAGAUGAGCCAGAUCCACAAUGUUAAGGAUUACGUCCGCGUCUAUUACCCAUCAAUUCCACAGUGAGUGUUUGCAGAGGACUUGCUAAAUCAUCAAGCAUAAAUCGUGGCUCUUAUCCUCAAGGAAAUUGGGGAGAUAAGAUUUACACUAAAGAGAAAAGAGCAAAUAAUAGAAUCACCACUCCAAGGCCCAUCAGGAUAGAGGAGGAAGUGGUACAUUGGCCAGGGGAAACUAGCCCUGAUUUAUACAAGAGUUUGGGGAGCAACUAACCUUUUAGGCUUCUCAAAGAAAUAGCAAAAUCUUGAAAAUAAAACUCAAAUGCGUACCUUUCUACUGGCCUCAUUAGCUAGGUGAGCAGAGGUGUGCUGGGGAGUGGAGGGACGCAGGGGUAUGGAUCCCCCUCUCCUCUCUUCACUUCUUUCUUGAUCUGUAGAUGAGGCCUUUGGCUCUGGCCUCUGCCAGCUUUGGGACCUGCCAGUGCAGCUGAUAAUGCAACAGGUUUCAGAGGACGUGAAGCCACCAUACUCUGCCCCCGUCCCCAAUACUGUGGGACUCCUUUCAGAUGGACUAGAUUAAACUAGAGGGCAAGAGGAAAUUGAAGAAAAUACUCGAUUCCAAGAGAGCCGUUCUUCAAAUUUCAUAGUCAUAAACCAGGAGGAGCACGUGCAUAAAUCUGGUCUGAUGUUCCACAGCCAGGCAGUGAGCUUGAAAAGAAACAGCCCUGAGCAUGCCGUCAGCAACAGAUGUUCUACAGCAAUUCUGUGGUUGUUAAAUAACAAUUUACAAUGACUUAUCUAGUUUCAUUGACAUGACUGCCCUCCGAAAUCCAAUUGCACGCUAGCCCUGUUGUCUUAAAAUGCAUUGGUCAGGAGUGCGUUGAAAGUACAAUGAAAGAUCUUAAAGGAAUAAGUUUAAAAAAAUUCUACAAGUAAAGAAGAAAGCAUGGAAGCUCCUGAGCCUUGGCCUGGUGAAUUCUGAAGACUGUGUGACCGUGGAUGUGUCGGCCCAUCUCUCAGAGCUUCUGAUUCCUCAAUGCAAACUCAGUAAGAAUGAUACACACUUUGCUCUAUGGCUGGAAUGGCUGGUUAUGAGGCAGGUUUGUGAGAGUCCUUUGACGUUUUGUAGUACCAUUAAAAGAUGGAGAUAUUAGAAAGGCAUCAGCUUGAACUAAGAGAUUGCCCCUCACAGUCAAAAUUUACAGGAGCAAUUUUCCCUAUUGGUGACUGGAAUAUUCUAAGAUGCUGGUUUUUAUUGACUAGAGGCCUGGAAUAGGAGCCACAGAUUCCACAGUUCCUGCCCAGCAAAUACCACUCUGCCUGCACGUGAGGAAACACACACACAUCCCAGACACACCCACAGCCAUGACCAGCAUGAAGGAGCUGACCUUGGAGCAUGUCAUCCCCAGGAGAUUCAAAGCUGGUUCGAGGUUGGAGCAAUGUUGGGCACACAGAACCCUCUUCAUCAAUGCAAGAAUGCCUAAAAGUACAUGGUGAUCGCUGUUUACUCAUAACAGUAAGAAGAGACAGAUGUUACCCUGAGACCUUUCUAGCUUCUUGAUGAAGGCAUUUCUAGGGCUGUAAACUGCUUUGGAUGCAUCCCAAAGAUUUUGGAAAGUUGUGUCCCUAUAUUUAUUAAUUUCAAUUAAAAAAAUUUCUGCCAUGAUUUUGAUGCUCACCCAAGAGAUAUUCAAAAGUAAGUUAUCUAAUUUCCAUAUAUUUGUGUAAUUUUCAGAGAUCUUCUUGGUAUUUAAUGAGAUCUGAACCCCAAACCUCAUCUUCACACAAUAUCCCCAUGUAAUAAAUCUGCUCAUGUGUCCUCU
rnacentral:lncRNA from 10 species